GCGCAAGUGGUUUAGUGGUAAAAUCCAACGUUGCCAUCGUUGGGCCCCCGGUUCGAUUCCGGGCUUGCGAA
rnacentral:tRNA from 1 species